AGGGAAAGGGAUGCAAGAGUGGGGGGGGGUGUCAAUGUUACCAUGUCUCUUUGAGAUUAUUUGGGUUUGUUUGAUUGAUUGAUUGUUUGUUUGUUUAAUGUGUGUGAGUUCAGUGUCGUUCUCUUUGGAUUGCUGGGAAUUGAACUCAGCGCCUCUGGAAGAACAGCCAAUGCUCCCACAGCUUUAGUGGGCGGAGUCGCGUUGAGAAACUUAUGAACCUAUGAACGCUUUCCUGAAGCGAUGUCACCACAAAGAUGAAUGGUCUACAUCUGCUCCCACCCGAGAUUCUGAGAACUAGGAAGAGAACAGUCUCCUGUAAGAACCGUCAAGAGUGGGAGGAGAGCUGUGAAGUGCUGUCUUCUAGACAGGACAAGGCUGUCGCCUGCAUCACCUCACUGAAGCUGUGGUUAUCAGCACAAGGAGGCCGAAGGGGCUCAGAGGUGAAGAACACGUGCAGAGGACCAGAAUUUCCUUCCCAGCACUGAGUGGGCCAGCUCAUCUGCCUGUAACUCCAGUUCCAGGAGCAGAGAAAGGGGUAAUCUCCAGCUUCUGCAGAACUGCCUUGCCGUUUUAAAUGGAGACACAUAGGCUUCACUCCACCUUCUGAUGAAAAGGGCUGCCUUCAAAUCUGGUUUGUUUUCCUGACGACCUCUGGCAUCUAAGCUCACUGGGAACAACAGAAACAGCGGGCACAGUGCAUCGGCUCUUCUUCUGAGAGACAGUGGAGCAGCUGGGCUCACUGGCCGCAGGGUAGCGGCCUGCCACCUCGCACUCCACCUUCCAAGAAGCCCAAAGUUCAACCUCUUUUCUUUAAGUAGCCUGUCUUAACUGUGUUUAUUUCGUAUGUGGCGAUUCUAUGGCUGCAGGCCUUAUUUACCUAAGAAUCGCUUGUCCAGUUUUAACAUUCUCAAAGUACAUUGUUCACACAAGAUAAAGGUUGCCUUUCUCAAUAUUGUUUUAAGCAUCCUGUUCCCUUAGUUCUUUCAUGUAUCCGUGUAAAGCAUCUUGAUGAGACUUACUUUAAAUUAAUGAACGUAGAAGUUUUGGGUCAGACUUUAUGUGAGCUUUAUAAGUAUGAUCUCUGAAGAAAAGCAGAUGUGUUAGUAUGUUUGCCUUAAACUUGUGAACUAAACCAAUAUUGUAAACGCCCAGAGGCACCAGCGGCGUUUUUACUCCGUGCCCCUUGUAUCGCUCUGGAAUUCGGGGUAGCUACAAUAAAUCUACUCCGGUAUUAUG